rfam:Sphingopyxis witflariensis strain DSM 14551 NODE_1_length_855691_cov_33.4336, whole genome shotgun sequence.
AGCAUAUUUUGCCCAGGCGGAGCUCGACCGCCCGUUCCGGAGAUGACUGCCUUCAUUGAUGAGCAUCGUGAGGUUUAUGGGGUCGAGCCGAUCUGCCGGGUUCUGCCGAUCGCCCCA